UCCGGCUUGACGCCGGCGGUCUCCCUAGAGUCCCCGCCAUGACGCGCUGGCAACUAGGGACAGGGGUUUCGCUCGUUUAGCGACUUAACGCGACAUCUCACGACACGAGCUGACGACAGCCAUGCAGCACCUGUGAUCGUUCCACCCGAAGGCGUCACUGACCUUUCAGCCAGCUAAUCCGACCAUGUCAAAUCCAGGAUAAGGUUCUUCGCGUUGCCUCGAAUUAAGCCACAUGCUCCACCGCUUGUGUGAGCCCCCGUCAAUUCCUUUGAGUUUCAACCUUGCGGUCGUACUCCCCAGGCGGGGUACUUCCUGCGUUAGCGCCGGCACCCAGAGGGUCGCUCCCCCAGGCACCUAGUACCCAUCGUUUACGGCGUGGACUAC
rnacentral:misc_RNA from 1 species